rnacentral:lncRNA from 1 species
CAGACAUUUUAAUAGUAUAAUUUCCUCUAUAGAUUUCUCUUAAUAUGCUGGCAUGUGUUCCAUUAUUGAAAUAACUUAUAAUUUACAGGGAUCAUUAUGAUACCAGUAAGGAAUCAGAUCUGAAUUACUACUUUGUGAAUGUGAUAGCAUUCAUUCUCACUGCUUAGCUAUGCUUGUCACUAAAUUCAAAGAAAAAAAAAUAACUUACAUUGGAAAAUUGAAAAUGUUCUGUUUGGUAGAAGACAGAACUGUCACAUCAGUUUUUAUUUGCAGCUUAAUGGUCUGUAUAUCAGUUCAGUUUGGCCUCCUGUGUAUUUGAAAAAUUAGGAUAUUUCUUAUAAUUGUAUUCCUGUUUCCUCUGGCAACUGACUGGAACAGAACAGUGGCAACGCAAUUCAGAUGGGGUACAAGCCCUCCAGUGUGUGUGGUUUCCACUACUAUCCUGAUUCCGAGCUAGCUCUUCCUUUUCUUUUUUCACUUCUCUCACUUGCUUGGCUUUUGUAGGAAUGUGAACAUGUAAGCUUUGGCCUACAAAAAUAUGAUAGACUGUCUUAACUGAAAAUAAAUACACAGCUAUUAACAACGUAGACUUGUUUUCUAAAAUAAGAAAAAAAAAAGGAUAAAUAUAAGGAGGGCCAAAAUUCCUCACAGUGCAGUAUGGAAUAAGAAAAUUGCAAAGGAAGACAUUUUCAUUUUUUUCUGUCUCUAAUUUAAUCACCACCAAAAAAAAAAAAAAGUUGACUACUACAUGUGAAUGCUGUUGUUGUUUUAAUUGGAUUUUGUUCAAAUGCCAUAAGUAACUGUCUAAAUUCUGAAGGCAUGCAGGUUUCCAGGCAUGUCUGUUAGGCGUCAGAAUAUGACGCCUCAGUCUAAAGGAAGCCAACAGUUUUUCUCUCUACUGUCAUUAAGUGUAUUUUAUGUUUGCAGAUGAAGUGUGCAUCUACUCAUCACAUGUUGUAUUCCUAUGCAUCCUGGACUCUUUACUCAAGUUCCUUACCUGGAAGACUUUCUUGUAGAAGAGGCACUGGUUUUGGACUGACCCCCUGCUGUGUUCCAGGAAGGGGUCUGAUUGAUCCUCUUCACUUGGAAUUUUUCAUGAACAUCUUUGCUAUGGUCUCAGUGUUGCAGGAGCCUUGAAACACUCCUCCACUUGCUUCUCCAUGAUGAGAGAAUGGGGUUUCCUCUGCAGUGGAUGAACUAAGUUGACAUAAAAGGAUAUCUCCCAUGUAUCAGUAUCCAUGGUAACAUUCUAGACAAGAAAGAAGCAUGCUAACAUCACUCUUCCACUCCAGAAAUUUUCAGAAUUAUCACCAAGCAAGACAACAAAAGUCCCCAGAGAGUAAAUAGAAUUCCCUUUAUAUUGUUAAUGUCACCUUGACCUUCCCCUUUAUCCACCGUCCUUUCAAGAAGCAGGCCCCUAUUCUGUGGUCUAUAGUCUCUCAGUCAGUUCAGUUCAGUCACUCAGUCGUGUCCAACUCUUUGUGACCCC